AACGAACGCUGGCGGCAUGCCUAACACAUGCAAGUCGAACGAGACCUUCGGGCCUAGUGGCGCACGGGUGCGUACCGCGUGGGAACCUGCCCUUAGGUUCGGAAUAACUCACCGAAAGGGGUGCUAAUACCGGAUAAUCUCAUCGCACCAAAGAUUUAUGGCCUUUGGAUGGGCCCGCGUUAGAUUCGCUAGUUGGUAGGGUAAUAGCCUACCAAGGCGACGAUCCAUAGCUGGUCUGAGAGGAUGAUCAGCCACACUGGGACUGAGACACGGCCCAGACUGGUACGGGGGGCAGCAGUGGGUAAUAUUAGACAAUGGGCGAAAGCCUGGUACAGCAAUGCCGGGUGAGUGAUGAAGGGCGUAGGGUUGUAAAGCUCUUUUACCCGGGAUGAUAAUGACAGUACCGGGAGAAUAAGCACCGGCUAACUCCGU
rnacentral:rRNA from 1 species